UACCGGAUGAUGAACGAAAGUCCAAAGAUUUAUCGCCCAGGGAUGAGCCCGCGUAAGAUUAGCUUGUUGGUGGGGUAAUGGCCUACCAAGGCGACGAUCUUUAGCUGGUCUGAGAGGAUGAUCAGCCACACUGGGACUGAGACACGGCCCAGACUCCUACGGGAGGCAGCAGUGGGGAAUAUUGGACAAUGGGCGCAAGCCUGAUCCAGCAAUGCCGCGUGAGUGAUGAAGGCCUUAGGGUUGUAAAGCUCUUUUACCAGGGAUGAUAAUGACAGUACCUGGAGAAUAAGCUCCGGCUAACUCCGUG
rnacentral:rRNA from 1 species